CCUACGGGUGGCAGCAGUAAGGAAUAUUGGUCAAUGGGCGCGAGCCUGAACCAGCCAAGUAGCGUGAAGGAUGACUGCCCUACGGGUUGUAGACUUCUUUUAUAAAGGAAUAAAGUGAUGCACGUGUGCCUUUUUGUAUGUACUUUAUGAUUAAGGAUCGGCUAACUCCGUGCCAGCAGCCGCGGUAAUACGGAGGAUCCGAGCGUUAUCCGGAUUUAUUGGGUGUAAAGGGAGCGUAGAUGGGUUGUUAAGUCAGUUGUGAAAGUUCGCGGCUCAACUGUAAAAUUGCAAUUGAUACUGGCAGGCUUGAGUAUAGUUGAGGUAGGCGGAAUUCGUGGUGUAGCGGUGAAAUGCUUAGAUAUCACGAAGAACUUCGAUUGCGAAGGCAGCUUACUAAACUGCCACUGACAUUGAUGAUCGAAAGUGUGGGUAUCAAAUAGGAUUAGAUACCCGAGUAGUC
rnacentral:rRNA from 1 species